rnacentral:lncRNA from 1 species
AUGCCCACAUUCAGCCGUCAAUCUUUAGUUAGCAUAUCAGUCACACAAGGUUCUAGGGUGGAUCAUAUGAGGUCUUUUUUGGCUUUGAAACUUCCACCAUCUGCAGAGGCAAGAGAACCCAAGUUCAAAGUCAGUCUGAUCUACAUAGCAAGUUCCCAGCCAGUGAAACAACAGCAACAAAACCAAAACUUCAUCACCUUAUUUGGUCUUAGCAUACCGGAUUUGAUGGUCACCAAAUCACCAAACCACCGUGAGAUCAAGGAAGCGGUGCCAACAACAUGGAGAGAGUGUCUGGGAGGAGAGUCUGGAUUCAAAAGACCCAGCAGGGACUGCUCUGUGAUCAAAUCCGACUUGACAGGCAGGGCCAUUUGCUCUGCUGUCAUCUCUAAGCAGGGAUCUUGGAUGACAUAUUUGGUAUGCUCUUGAGAUGCCACAGUGUGUAAACGGAAGGGCAGACAUAUGUUCAAGCCAUGAGGGGAAAACAAAGCUGUGCAUGGUCAAGAUGACUCAGGCCUCUCCAGUUCCUAAUAAAC